AAUUUCUUACAAGAAUUUUACAUGCAAAAAUAUAUAUGCUCUGCACAGUCGUCAUGCUGAUGAGGGUUCAUCUGGAAGAGAAGAAGCAACUAACGACAUGCGCCGUUUAACAUCUUGAGUUGUAUUGUAUGCACCACAUUGCAUACAUUUCAAGCCAAUAAAGUUAAAUUUGGUUUUUGAGGUCUGCAGUAUAAAGAUGAUAAAGAGUUGGUUUACAGUUUACCACCCACCUUGUGACAGUCAUUGCAAAAAAUAUGUAUACGCUGAUUUUCAUAUUUCUUUGGCACCGGCAAUGAAACCG